UAAUCACCAAAUAUGGGUGCUGGAAUUCAAACUCAGUCCUCAGGAUUGAGCAGGAAGUACUCUUAACCACUGAGCUAUCUCUCCACUCCCUCAGAAAAGCUUCUACAAGACAGAAUUUAUCUGUGUAACCCUGGCUGUCCUGGAACUAGAGCUGUAGACCAAGUUGGAGAUCCCCUACCUCUGCCUGCCAGCUGGGAUUAAAGGUGUGUGUCACCACCGCCAUGGUCUAGUUAUACAACUUUUCAUAUUAGCUUAUUUAAACAGCACAGAAAGAAAAAUCAUUACAAAUGAAACAGAUGCCAUAAGACUAUGAAUUAGAUGAAUGAAACUACUUACCUAGCAAGUUGUGCAAGUUCUUUUUGGGUCAGUGGACUUCCUUGUUUACAUAACAGGUUUUUAAGUAGAAGUAGUCUUGUCUGGAAGUACAUAUCAAAGAAUUAUAAAUAAAGCUCAAUUUGAUAA